GGCGGCAGAAUUCCAAAAAUAGUAGCAGCGGUUGAUGUCACUGGAGGUUCUUGGGGCAGUAAUUUAUCAAGAGUUUAUGAUCCUGAACUAAGGAUCAUACGGAGGAGGAUCUAUGUAUAACGUUCGGCACAAUGUUAGAUAGGAAGUAAGGGCGCAGUGCACUGGAGUUAUUUUUUCUUUUUUUGAGACGGAGUCUCGCUCUGAUGCCCAGGCCGGAGUUGCAGUGCCGCGAUGUUGCCUCACUGCAACCUUCUCCGCCACAUGGGUUCAAGUGAUUCUCCUGCCUCAGCCCCUCGAGUAACUGGGAUUACAGUCGCAUGUCACCACGCCUGGCUAAUGUUUUCCAUUUUUAGUAGAGACGGUUUCACCAUGUCGGCCAGCCUGGUGUUGAACUCCUGAUCUCAAGUGAUCCACCCGCCUCGGCCUUCCAAAGUGCUGGAAUUACAAGCAUGAGCCACUGUGCCUGGCCUGGAGUUAUUUUUUUGUCACUGGGUUUUUGAGCAAAGAAAAGGAGUUAUUAACUGGUGAGGAUAAGUUUGUGUUUGGUAAGUCGUCUUCUGAAGCUGAUAGGAUUUAUAAGCCGGGUAAAUUGUGGUGCUGGUUCAUCUUUGAGAGCCAGCCUUAAGAAUUGGCCCACUGACUGCCGGGCGUGGUGGCUCACGUCUGUAAUCCCAGCACUUUGGGAGGCCGAGGCGGGUGGAUCACCCGAAGUCGGGAGUUCGAGACCAGCCUGGUCAACAUGGUGAAACCCCGUCUCUACUAAAAACAUAAAAAUUAGCCAGGUGUGGUGGUGGGUGCCUGUAAUCCCAGCUACUCGGGAGGCUGAGGCAGAGAAUUGCUUGAACCCAGAAGGCGGAAAGGUUGCAGUGAACCAAGAUCACACUACUGCGCUCCAGCCUGGGCGACAGAGUGAGACUGUCUCAAAAAAAAAAAAAAAAAAAGAAAAAGGCCCACUGACAGUCUGUUCCUAGAAACCUGGGUUGUAAAGACGUUGGGUGCUGGGAGCUAGAAGAAGUAAUAAAAGGGUGUUUUCCUAAAUGGGUUAGGGGUUUUCACUCAGAAAGGUUUUUGGGCAGGAGGGGAAAGCCUGAGAAGUUUUCUUCCUCAUGAGUUGUUAUAAAAGUAAUACACGUGUAGUUAGAAAACAAUGCAGAAAGAUGUAAAAUGAAAAGUGUUUCCCCCUUCUACUGUUUCUGCCCUUCAGAAGUAAAUACAAUUAAUUUCUUUGAUAACUUUCUAUUAUUUGGAUAUAUCAGGUUUUAUUUGCCUGUAUGUAUGUAUUUUUAAUUUCCUAAGAUGGGGGGGUCAUACUAUACAUCGGUCGGGACCUUAGUCAUGUUGUGAUAUGGACAGCUUUCUUACCAGUACUCAUAAGCCUGCUUCGUUUUUUACAUGGCGGCACCACUGAGUGGUUGACUGUACUGCAAUCAUUUCCAUGUUGAUGGUCACUUAGGUCGUUCCCAAGAUUUUGCUUUCCCACAAUGUUUCAUCCAACCUUUCUUGGAUGAAAUAUUUUAGUCCAAGUCACCCCUAAGUGAUUCUGCUUUUCCCUACUCACCACCCUAGGUUAGUAACAGCUUACUUUGGGGGAUGAGCACACCUUAUUAACUGAGCAAAAACCAAGAUAAUAUGAGAAGAACUGGUGUACUCCUAAGAAUAUCCAAGCUGCUGGGUCUAGAAUCAAUUAAAGUCUCCUAAGAAAUGGGUCAGGGAACCUUUAGAGAAGGGAUGACUAGGUGCUGGGUGCACGGCAGCAGCUAGUCAGCAUUAGUGAUUGUUGGCUUCUGUCAAUUGUUGCCCAGGAAACGGAUUUGAGAGAUUCUCUGAGGUAGGAGGGAUUUUAAAUGUCAACUCUCCUGCUAUGUAUUAUAUGUCUGGAAGGGAUUAGUUCUUUGAGGGAAGAAAGUAUUAAAGAAAACAAUGGGCCGGGCACGGUGGCUCACACCUGUAAUCCCAGCACUUUGGGAGGCCGAGGCAAGGCGGGCGGAUCAUGAGAUCAGGAGAUCGAGACCAUCCUGGCUAACAUGGUGAAACCUCAUUUCUACUAAAAAUACAAAAAAAAUUAGCUGGGCCUGGUGGCACGCACCGUAGUCCCAGCUACUUAGGAGGCUGAGGCAGGAGAAUUGCUUGAACCUGGGAGGCAGAGGUUGCAGUGAGCCACUGCACUCCAGCCUGGGCAACAGAGCAAGACUCCAUCUCAAAAAAAAAAAAGAAAAUGAGCGCCUCUGCCCGGCCUCCCCGUCUGGGAGGUGAGGAGUGCCUCUGCCCGGCCGCCACCCCGUCUGGGAGGAAGUGAGGAGCACCUCUGCCCGGCCACCCCGUCUGGGAGAUGAGGAGCACCUCUGCCCGGCCGCCCUGUCUGGGAGUUGAGGAGCGCCUCUGCCUGGCCGCCACCCCGUCUGGGAGGAAGUGAGGAGCGCCUCUGCCUGGCGGCCCCAUCUGGGAAGUGAGGAGCGCCUCUGCCCGGCCGCCACCCCGUCUGGGAAGCGAGGAGCGCCUCUGCCUGGCCGCCCCGUCUGGGAGGUGAGGAGCGCCUCUGCCCGGCCGCCCAUCGUCUGGGAGGUGAGGAGCGCCUCUGCCCAGCCGCCCCGUCUGGGAGGUGAGGAGCGCCUCUGCCCAGCCGCCACCCCGUCUGGGAGGAAGUGAGGAGCGCCUCUGCCCGGCCGCCACCCUGUCUGGGAGGAAGUGAGGAGCGCCUCUGUCCGGCCGCCCCGUCUGGGAAGUGAGGAGCGCCUCUGCCCGGCCGCCCCGUCAGGGAGGUGAGGGGGACCUCUGCCCGGCCGCCCCGUCUGGGAUGUGAGGAGCGCCUCUGCCCAGCCGCCCCGUCUGGGAGGUGAGGAGCGUCUCUGCCCGGCCGCCCCGUCUGGGAGGUGAGGAGCGCCUCUGCCCAGCCGCCCCGUCUGGGAUGUGAGGAGCGCCUCUGCCCGGCCGCCACCCCAUCUGGGAGGAAGUGAGGAGUGCCUCUGCCCGGCCGCCCCGUCUGGGGGGUGAGGAGCGCCUCUGCCCGGCCGCCCCGUCUGGGAGAUGAGGAGGACCUCUGCCCGGCCGCCCCGUCUAGGAUGUGAGGAGCGCCUCUGCCCGGCCACCCCGUCUGGGAGGUGAGGAACGCCUCUGUGCGGCCGCCCCGUCUGGGAAGUGAGGAGCGCCUCUGCCCGGCCGCCACCCCGUCUGGGAGGAAGUGAGGAGUGCCUCUGCCCGGCCGCCCUGUCUGGGAAGUGAGGAGCGCCUCUGCCCGGCCGCCCUUUCUGGGAGGUGAGGAGUGCCUCUGCCUGGCUGCCACCCUGUCUGGGAGGAAGUGAGGAGCGCCUCUGCCCAGCCGCCUCGUCUGGGAGGUGAGGAGCGUCUCUGCCCGGCCGCCCCGUCUGGGAGGUGAGGAGCGCCUCUGCCCAGCCGCCCCGUCUGGGAGGUGAGGAGCGCCUCUGCCCGGCCGCCCUGUCUGGGAGAAGUCUGAAACGUUUUUUCUUAGAGUUCCAGAAUUGAGACUGAAGUGUACCCAGAGACACAAAGAAAUACAGAAGUCCAGAAUGAUCAAAUGAUAUCACUACCCAAUGAAAUGAUGGACUGAGGAGCCAGAAGUUGUCCUACUACCUGCUUUCCAGGUCCAGGUUCCACGAGAGCCUUCUGGGCUCCCACCAGAGAGCCUCAGUGAACACUCUGUUGAAGAUUUUAAGACCAUGCUAGAAAGCCUCCUGGCAGAGAUUCAGGAAGUUCUGCUAUGAGGAUGCAGCUGGCCCCAGGGAUGUCCUCAGGCAUCUCUAGGACCUUGCUGGACGGUGGCUGAGACCUGAUAUCCACACAAAGGAGCAGACUGUGGAAAUGCUGGUGCAGGAGCGAUUCCAGGCUGUCCUGCCCGAGGAGCUCAGAGCUCAACCACACAGAUGUGAGCCUGGAAUCAGAAUCACUGGCUAAGUGUUGCUGCUUGCUUCUUGCUCAGCCUACAUAUGAGAAGUCAACCAAGCGUUCUCUUGGAUGCAAGAUCCAGCUGCACCCGUGGGAAAUCUGAACUUCCACUUUCUUUGAGCUUGUCUUUGGUUGUAAUAAGAAUCCAUCAAAACCCAUGUCUGGAUCUCUCUCUGGCUGAGGCAGCUUUAUUUCCUACAGAAAGAGUUUCUCUGUCCUCCUGUUAGGACAAUCAGCCUGCUGCUUUGGGCUUUUCCAAGAGCCUAUUUUUCGUCUGCUGGAUGCCUCUUUUUUUUUUUUUUUUUUUGCACUUUGUGACAUGCUUUAAUAUAUUGUUUUUAUGUAUCCAAAGAGGUAAUCAACUUUAACUUUCAGAAUUCAUGAAUCUUGGUUUGGUGGCAUGAAUGAAAGCUUAUGUAACCCCACUAGUAACUCAUUUGGGGUGCCCUUGAAAUAUUAAAGUUUGGUCCUCAAUAAA